ensembl:lncRNA
GCAUUCACAAAGGUGGUCGCUCAGGUAUUUCGAACUUGUACAAUCAUUCCUUCAGAGACUUUACCCAGUAAAGGACUAUUCUUUCUAGAGGUUUCAUUAAGUGAAAGGGAUUGCAGACACUCCAUCCAGUGCGUGUAGAAUGUAAGCAUGCAUCUUUAUUGUUGUAGAGGCCUUGCUUUCUCUCGCUUGUACAGAUUGUUUAAUUAUUUACAUUCUUUAAAAUGGAGGACCGAUGAGGGGAAAGGACAGCACAGCGCACGGACAAGUGUAACAGUGUGUUUACAGAUGAUAUGAUCUGCAAAUGGAGCGUCGACUGCAAAGCAACUCGGAACGGAUGGGGACGCGAAAGAGAGCGAGUUGGUACUUUGGCCCUCUCCAUCUAAUAGAAUGAAUUAGAAAUUAUACCAUCCAUCCAUUUUCUCCCGCUCUGAUUUGCACGUCCACAAUUUUGUCUCGCUUUAACAAUUUUUCCUGCCCAUCGUUUUUUUUUUUUUCUUUUUUUUUCACCAUCAGCGAAUCUCUCCAUCUGUCUCAUUUCCUAUUUAACAAUCUCCUGCUUUUUUCCUUUUUUUUCCUGAUGCCUUCCUCAGCUCAACCCCGUUCUCUUUACUCCCAUCCUUUUUUUUUUUCUCUUGUCUGAAAUUGGGAACAGAGCAGCUGGUAAUUGAAGAUCAUUGUCUCUCUCAGGGCCCUCAGGAUUUGCAAUGCUUUUUCACCAUAGCUCAUCUGUGACUAAAUCUGACAGUUGGCCACAUGCGGCAGACUCUUCUCUCUCCCAGCCUUCGUCUCUUUCUGUCUCCCAAGAGCUCCGUCAGUAUGAAGAGGCCCGAGGACGCCAUCUCAUCUUCUCUCAGCCGGUGUCAAGCAACAAUCCUGCGGGGCCCGUCCCUGCUUAAUUCAGCUUAGAGGCCCUCUCUCGUCCCCGACAUUCCUGAUCGCCUCAUUUUUCCGGGUAUGCCUCUCAGGGCUGAGGUAAUUAUUUCCAGAAUAAUAAUAACAGAGAGAUUAGUGUGUUUAGCAGGCAGAUGUAUUGCCCUGUUCCAUUGCCUUACUUAUAUUUGCCUCUGAACUGAGUGACCUAUUAGAAUAGAUUAAUUCUGCUAUAAAAAAUGAAAGCGCUUAAUGACCCCUGUCUCUUGAUGGAGAGAUGAGGAACCCGCCUGAGGAUGAUUUCUUCAGACAUCCCCUGAUCUAUCAAAUUCCACGCUGGACACCGGGAGCAGCAGGUGUUAAAGUCUUCAUUCGUUUCUGUCUUGGUUAUAGAUGACCUGGCUCUAUGAAAUUACUCAAAUGGUGGAUGGCCAUUACAUUUACCAGGAACCAGGUGGAAUGAAAAAUUGCAAAUGAAGAAAACUGUAUUAUUAUUUAUUAAAAGUUCUGUUACAUGAGGUCUUUUGUAGCAUGUAUUGCCUCCUGUUAUGAAAUCUGAAAUAUUUACAAAGUUAAAAUGCAGCAUUUUGCCUGACAAAAUAAUAGUAAAAACAAAAUAUAUAUAUAUAUAUAUAUAUACAUUAUUUUUUUUUUUUUCAUAUCAUUUAAAAAGUUUUAUGUUUUGUAUAAUAGUUAAUGCAUCAGGCUUUUCUUUUUAAUCAGUAAGUAUAUGGCUCUCAUAUCUCAACAAGAAGAAAAAAAAAUCCUAAUAAUAUGUCUUAUAUAUAAAAAUACAAUGCUAUUUAAAUUAUUAGUUUUGUGAUCAAAGUUCUGUAGUUUUAGGGCAAAGCCUAUAAUGCAAUACAAUACUGUGUAAUGCAUCAGGCUUUUAUUUUUAUAUAGAGUAAGUAUAUGGCUCUCAUAUCUCAACAAGAAGAAAAAAAAUCCUAAUAAUAUGUCUAUAUAUAUAUAUGGACAUUCAAAUAAAUCUAAAAUGCUUGACUCCA